rnacentral:rRNA from 1 species
UACGAAGGGUGCAAGCGUUACUCGGAAUUACUGGGCGUAAAGCGUGCGUAGGUGGUUCGUUAAGUCUGACGUGAAAGCCCUGGGCUCAACCUGGGAACUGCAUUGGAUACUGGCGAUCUGGAGUGCGGUAGAGGGUAGCGGAAUUCCCGGUGUAGCAGUGAAAUGCGUAGAUAUCGGGAGGAACAUCCGUGGCGAAGGCGGCUACCUGGACCAGCACUGACACUGAGGCACGAAAGCGUGGGGAGCAAACAGGAUUAGA